GGACCAAGUCAGAGUACUCCAAACUCUCUGCGACCUCGUUAGUGACAAAUGCAGCGACGGCCCUCCUCAACAAUCGGGCCAGCAGGAGCUCUUUCCUGAGAGUGGCGUAUUCAUGUCCUCGUUCCGCCUUGCUGCCAUAAGUCAUGCUUCAAAGCCCAAUUGCAUGCGUUUAUUCCACGCACUUUUUGACCACUUUUUUUACAGUUGAGGAGUGUCAAAAUGCUGUCGCUUUUGGUCGCCCUGGAAACAAACCUGCAGGAACAGGAAAGCGCAUCCUUGACCGGAAAAAAGUUGAAGAAAUCCUAACGUAUGUCCUGAGAUGCGGUACCCUUCCUGAUUGGGACAAUAUUGAGGAGGCCAAGCUCAAGCAAGCUUUGGUAUACAAAUGUUGGGCAAGAGCAGGUUUUAAGUAGGCCCUUGUACCUGCCAAGUUCAUUCUGGGUUUUGAUUCCUCCCCUCUUACCAGUACUCUCUGCAGUUGCCAGUUACUGUGCGACGGUCCCUUUCCUGAUCUGCUUGUAUUCGUCAGCUCGUUCUGUUCUCCUAGUUGGACAUGGAGACCCACCUUCGCAACAGAGAGAUUUCACAACUUGUCUGCGUUCCUACUGGACGCAUUCCCUGCGGUGAGCUGCAACGGCUCUGGGUCGACUUGGAAAUGGUCAGGAUGAACGUGGCAUGCUUUACCUUGCAAGGGUAGCAGCAGAGGAACACUAGGAGGCGGUGCCUGUCGAAGGAGCCCGAAACACUGCUCUUCAAAUGUAACACGUCCAACCUCCAGGUGUCCAUGCAGGAUGUACCACUCUGGAACAUCAAGCCUCUCCCUACCUGCCAGCACAUGAAAAUAUUUAAACUUUUGACUCUACCAAAGACAAUGGUAAACCAUUUUCCAGAUCAGCCCUCAUAGAUCCUCCUGAUGGCCUAACAACUGAACUACUUGUCAAUGCUGAGUAUGAUCCAUCUCAAUCAUUUGAGGAAGCUUUCCCAGAUAUGGGGGAUUGGAUGUACAAUGACGGACAUACGUUUAAUGAAGGAUUCAAGAUCGUUUAAGUGAGGAGUGUGCAGAAUAAUCAAAAUUCAAAGACACAACAGACAAACCAAUAUAUGACAAUGCAUCAGUAUCCGUGGCAUAGUGACUUCUGAUCAUCAUGGGUUAUGUAAACUGUCAUAAAGUAACUAAAAGGCCCUAUGCGAUUUGCUCAAAAUGUUCAAGUUGUUUUGUCCCGAUAGUCUGAAUGCAGACUGCUUAAACAGUGUGCAGAGGUUCAAAAACUUUUUUUUUUAUCCCGCUCUGCAUCAUCGCCUAUUGUAUUGCAUAAAUACUGCAGUAAUUGAUUUGGGCCAUUAGAAAGUAAACAAAUAAAAUGCCUAUCUUGUGGGACCAGUGUGUCAGAUGAAAGAUCCUCAUCCUUUAUAGAGGUUCCAAUGAAGGCUCAAAUAAGGUAAUUGUUCCUCAAGCCAGGUUUUCAGGAGAAGCUUAACUUUAGAUUAAGCAGAAAAAAGGCAGAUGCUAACAACAUUGAAGAUAUAUAUGAUGCAGAAGUUUACAAACAGGCAGCACGGUGGUAGAGGGGUUAGUGCAUCUGCCUCACAAUACGAAGGUCCUGAGUAGUCUUGGGUUCAAUCCUGGGCUCGGGAUCUUUCUGUGUGGAGUUUGCAUGUCCUCCCUGUGACUGCGUGGGUUCCCUCCGGGUACUCCGGCUUCCUCCCACCUCCAAAGACAUGCACCUGGGGAUAGGUUGAUUGGCAACACUAAAUUGGCCCAAUUGUGUGAAUGUGAGUGUGAAUGUUGUCUGUCUAUCUGUAUUGGGCCUGCGAUGAGAUGGCGACUUGUCCAGGGUGUACCCCGCCUUCCGCCCGACUGUAGCUGAGAUAGACUCCAGCGCCCCCCGCGACCCCAAAGGGAAUAAACGGUAGAAAAUGGAUGGAUGGAAGUUUACAAACAGCUUGUCGAUAGGGGUGGUCCACUUAGUGACCCUAAAAACAACUCACUUACUUGGAACACCGAUGGGGUACCUAUUUUCAAAUCGUCCAAGUUUUCAGUGUGGCCUUUUUAUUGUAUCAUCAAUGAAUUGAGCUUAAUGGAACGCACAAAGAGAGAGAGAAAAUGAUAUUUGCUGGACUUUGGUAUGGGGAUUCAAAACCAUCCAUGGUUACAUUUUUGAGACCACUAAGUGACACACUGAGUAAGCUUGCAGACGAUGGAAUUAUUGUGCAACCUGCAGAGUUGACAUCUGAACCUUUUGUGUGUAAAGUGCUCACCAUUGCUGGAACAUGCGACUUGCCUGCUAAAGCAUUAGUCCUUAAUUCAAUGCAAUACUGUUAUGUAUCACUACAGGGGACGUGACGGCUCAGACACCAGAGGGCAGUAAUGUUCAUACAUUUAUUA